rnacentral:rRNA from 1 species
GGGAAUAUUGGACAAUGGGCCACGAGCCUGAUCCAGCAAUUCUGUGUGGGUGAUGACGGUCUUAGGAUUGUAAAGCCCUUUCAGUGGGGAAGAAGAAAGUGACAGUACCCACAGAAGAAGCCACGGCUAACUACGUGCCAGCAGCCGCGGUAAGACGUAGGUGGCAAGCGUUAUCCGGAAUCACUGGGCGUAAAGGGCAUCUAGGCGGUUUAUUAAGUCAGAAGUGAAAUACCGGGGCUCAACCCCGGGACUGCUUUUGAAACUGGUAGACUAGAAUACGGGAUAGGAGGGCGGAACUACAAGUGUAGAGGUGAAAUUCGUAGAUAUUUGUAGGAAUGCCGAUGACGAAGGUAGCUCUCUGGACCGACAUUGACGCUGAAGUGCGAAAGCUAGGGUAGCAAAC